UACAACGAAGAGUUUGAUCCUGGCUCAGGAUGAACGCUAGCGGCAGGCUUAACACAUGCAAGUCGAGGGGUAACAGGGAUUGCUUGCAAUCCGCUGACGACCGGCGCACGGGUGCGUAACGCGUAUGCAACCUACCUU
rnacentral:rRNA from 1 species